AACGGAGGAGCACGAAGGUUAGCUAAUCCUGGUCGGACAUCAGGAGGUUAGUGCAAUGGCAUAAGCUAGCUUGACUGCGAGCGUGACGGCGCGAGCAGGUGCGAAAGCAGGUCAUAGUGAUCCGGUGGUUCUGAAUGGAAGGGCCAUCGCUCAACGGAUAAAAGGUACUCCGGGGAUAACAGGCUGAUACCGCCCAAGAGUUCAUAUCGACGGCGGUGUUUGGCACCUCGAUGUCGGCUCAUCACAUCCUGGGGCUGAAGUAGGUCCCAAGGGUAUGGCUGUUCGCCAUUUAAAGUGGUACGCGAGCUGGGUUUAGAACGUCGUGAGACAGUUCGGUCCCUAUCUGCCGUGGGCGCUGGAGAAUUGAGGGGGGCUGCUCCUAGUACGAGAGGACCGGAGUGGACGCAUCACUGGUGUUCGGGUUGUCAUGCCAAUGGCACUGCCCGGUAGCUAAAUGCGGAAGAGAUAAGUGCUGAAAGCAUCUAAGCACGAAACUUGCCCCGAGAUGAGUUCUCCCUGAGACUUUAAGUCUCCUGAAGGAACGUUGAAGACGACGACGUUGAUAGGCCGGGUGUGUAAGCGCAGCGAUGCGUUGAGCUAACCGGUACUAAUGAACCGUGAGGCUUAACCUU
rnacentral:rRNA from 1 species